UACAGAGGGUGCAAGCGUUAAUCGGAAUUACUGGGCGUAAAGCGUGCGUAGACGGUAGCGUAAGUCGGGUGUGAAAGCCCCGGGCUCAACCUGGGAAUUGCAUUCGAGACUGCUCUGCUAGGGUGCGGAAGAGGGAAGCGGAAUUUCCGGUGUAGCGGUGAAAUGCGUAGAUAUCGGAAGGAAUACCAGUGGCGAAAGCGGCUUCCUGGUCCAGCACCGACGUCAGGCACGAAAGCGUGGGGAGCAAACAGG
rnacentral:rRNA from 1 species